rnacentral:rRNA from 1 species
AAUGAACGCUGGCGGCGCGCCUAAUACAUGCAAGUCGAGCGAGAAGACGUAGCAAUACGUUUGUAAAGCGGCGAACGGGUGAGGAAUACAUGGGUAACCUACCCUCGAGUGGGGAAUAACUAGCCGAAAGGUUAGCUAAUACCGCGUACGCUCCUUGGACUUCGGUUCAGGGAGGAAAGCGAUACCGUGGGUAUCGCGCUCUUGGUUGGGCUCAUGUCCUAUCAGCUUGUUGGUGAGGAACGGCUCACCAAGGCUUCGACGGGUAGCUGGUCUGAGAGGACGAUCAGCCACACUGGCACUGCGACACGGGCCA